rnacentral:rRNA from 1 species
UAUAAAAGUAAAAAAAAAAUCUUAAAGUAGUAUUAGUUUUUGCUUGAAAUUUAAUAAAUUUGGCGGUAAUUUAUUUCUAUUCAGAGGAACUUGUUAAAUAAUUGAUAAUCCACAUUAAAUCUUACUUAAUUUAUUUAGUUUGUAUAUCGUCGUUAUCAGAAUUUCUUAAAAAAGUAAAAAUUUUCUAAAAUAUUAAAUUAUAUAAAUAUAUAUAUCAGAUCAAGGUGCAGCUUAUAAUUAAGAUAUAAUGAGUUACAAUAAAUAUAUUUUUGGUUUUAAAAUUGAAAUAUUUUAUUUAAAUUGGAUUUGAAUGUAAAUUUAUUAAAGGUAAAUAAAUGAUUUAGUCUACUGG